rnacentral:tRNA from 1 species
ACCUGGGUGGCUCAGUGGUUGAGCGUCUGCCUUUGGAUCAGGUCAUGAUCCCAGGUU